ensembl:snoRNA LOC120097230 small nucleolar RNA SNORA48
UCCUCCUGGCAACAGGCAAAGAGACACCUCGAUAGUGGUGUUCUUACAUUGGUCAGAGGCAGGGCAGAUAGAAGUCCUUUGUUCAUCCUAGCUUGAUGCCUGACUUGGUGGAAAAGGCCGUUUUAUUCCUAGAACACAUAA